rnacentral:tRNA from 1 species
GCGGAUGUCGUAUAACGGCGAUUACACCUGAUUGCCGAUCAGGAGAUGUGGGUUCGAUUCCCGCCAUCCGCUCCA